rnacentral:rRNA from 1 species
AGUCGAACGAUGAUCCCAGCUUGCUGGGGGAUUAGUGGCGAACGGGUGAGUAACACGUGAGUAACCUGCCCUUAACUCUGGGAUAAGCCUGGGAAACUGGGUCUAAUACCGGAUAUGACUCCUCAUCGCAUGGUGGGGGGUGGAAAGCUUUAUUGUGGUUUUGGAUGGACUCGCGGCCUAUCAGCUUGUUGGUGAGGUAAUGGCUCACCAAGGCGACGACGGGUAGCCGGCCUGAGAGGGUGACCGGCCACACUGGGACUGAGACACGGCCCAGACUCCUACGGGAGGCAGCAGUGGGGAAUAUUGCACAAUGGGCGCAAGCCUGAUGCAGCGACGCCGCGUGAGGGAUGACGGCCUUCGGGUUGUAAACCUCUUUCAGUAGGGAAGAAGCGAAAGUGACGGUACCUGCAGAAGAAGCGCCGGCUAACUACGUGCCAGCAGCCGCGGUAAUACGUAGGGCGCAAGCGUUAUCCGGAAUUAUUGGGCGUAAAGA